rnacentral:rRNA from 1 species
GUGGGGAAUAUUGGACAAUGGGCGAAAGCCUGAUCCAGCCAUGCCGCGUGUGUGAAGAAGGUCUUCGGAUUGUAAAGCACUUUAAGUUGGGAGGAAGGGCAGUAAGUUAAUACCUUGCUGUUUUGACGUUACCGACAGAAUAAGCACCGGCUAACUUCGUGCCAGCAGCCGCGGUAAUACGAAGGGUGCAAGCGUUAAUCGGAAUUACUGGGCGUAAAGCGCGCGUAGGUGGUUCGUUAAGUUGGAUGUGAAAGCCCCGGGCUCAACAUGGGAACUGCAUCCAAAACUGGCGAGAUAGAGUACGGUAGAGGGUGGUGGAAUUUCCUGUGUAGCGGUGAAAUGCGUAGAUAUAGGAAGGAACACCAGUGGCGAAGGCGACCACCUGGACUGAUACUGACACUGAGGUGCGAAAGCGUGGGGAGCAAACAGGAUUAGAUACCCGAGUAGUCC